rnacentral:tRNA from 1 species
AGUCAGGUAGCCUAGCAGUUAAGGCAGCCCAUGUGUGUUGGGUCCGGAACCAUUGGAUCUGGUUGCUGGUUCAAAUCCAGCCUCAAUCA